ensembl:lncRNA
AUUUUUUAGUUGGAGAUCCCUGCCUAUGUGAGAAUGCUGUAGGCCUUCUGAAGACCAUUGUGAACUUAUGGCCUUCAUAUUUCUGCAAAACUUAACACUGUGAAGGUAUGUUUCCUAAGGGUUUCUUGUUGAUAAUAGUGAAUUCAGUGUUAUUUUGAAGCCCAGUUUACUACAGUACGGAUCUUACAGAGCAUCAACAGCUCCUGGCAUGUACCUUUUGAUACACAGCAGCAGAGAUGGGCAUUUCUGCUGGUGGCAUUUCUUCCUGAGGCACUGCAGCUCACUGAACCUCCACACGCUAAGGGAUGUGGGCAACGUGUUGUCCUUAAAGUUGCAUUUAGUUUCUUUACUCUUCUUUUCUUCAAAUAGUACCUAAAUUCUUGUUAUUGAGGUUUAACCUAACCCUGUGGUGCCUGUAUGGCAUUCCCCACAGGUGUGACUGGAUACAGUCCCACUUGAGGCCAGACACUUUGAUUCUCAGAGUAAGUAGAGCGAAGAAGUCACAGUCUAGCCAUCUCUCCAUCAUUAUCUUGCUUUUCACCUGUCUGUCCCUUCACUGAGAAGUCAGAAAUGCUUUUUUUUUUCAUAAUGUCCCUUCAACUAACCAUCAGGACAGUUUGGAGCUUGUCUGUAAAUCAUUUCAAGGUAAUACUGAGAAAAAUAUGCUUUAAAGCAUGUACUUACUGUGAGAUUGAGUCCCACAGAGCCAGCCCUUCCCAUCAAACCCUGUUUGAUGACAUCCAAGAUGUUAAGCUGUGUGGGUGGAUGAUAGAAAUGCCAUUGUAAUCUCAACUGUUAUGGAAUAACAAGACAGCCAAAAGCCUAUGCUCCUGAAUGGACUUGAAGCCCGCCUCAGAGUUUGCACCUGGAAACCAUCUUAUAGCAGUGGUGGAGGAAGGAUAGCUUUCUCCUGGAAAAAAAUUAGGUACUUAGGUAUCUAAGUGCUACCAAAUGGACAUGCAAUUAUUUGGAAACUAUGUAAAACUUUAUUUCUGCUUCCUGAAUCACAAAUGCCAUCUUAAAAUCAUGCUAUUGUUAUU